UACAGAGGGUGCGAGCGUUGUUCGGAAUUAUUGGGCGUAAAGCGCGUGUAGGCGGCUUGGCAAGUCGGGUGUGAAAGCCCUCAGCUCAACUGAGGAAGUGCGCCCGAAACUGCUUGCUUGAGUACUGGAGAGGGUCGCGGAAUUCCCGAAGUAGAGGUGAAAUUCGUAGAUAUCGGGAGGAACACCGGUGGCGAAGGCGGCGACCUGGAC
rnacentral:rRNA from 1 species